GUGGACAGUAUCUGGUGCUUCGUUGGGUUACCAACGAAUUUUAGCAGUAGCAGCAGAACGACCUAUUUUUGGGCAAGGCUAUGAUGAAUAUUCGGAUAACAAUUCUAGUGGAGCUGAAUUUUUCCGCUCCGCUUCUCUUACUAUUUCCCUCCUUCGUGCUACUGGCCUUCUUCUCCCCUGUUACAGCAUAUUGCAGCGCCGUAGGGAGCAACAAGUAACUGCUCUUUCUUGAAAAAUGACAUCACUUAGUUGUGUCAUGUUGAUCUAGAUCACAAGAGAAUACUAAGCACGCAGAUUCGUAUUCGUUUUUCAUGAUAUGUACUAUGCAUAAUUGGUAAGGUUCGAGUCUUGUUAAGAAUGUGUCUGGUACUAAUCUGUAUUUUUCUAAUUUUUAAUAAUUAUGUUUAGAUAUAGUGGAGGCAAUUUUUCAACUUCCCU